UCAAAACCAAAUAUAUCUGAGAUUAGCAAAGACAACACUGCACCUCAGUGGGCAUGGACAUUUCCAUCUGCACAAAUAAUACUCUCUAAUUUUCACUUGAGCCAAACUGCAAGAGGAGGAGGGGCUAUGAUAGGCAUGCAAAACAAGAAAUGGAAAACUUAGACACUCGCUCACCCUACACUGAAAACUCUGAUACCAGCACAUGGGACACAACUGAGCUGACAGCUGCCCGAUCAUGUUUGAAUUACUGAAAAUGAGAACGUUUUCAAAGUUUCUAGCCAUGAUAUUUAUGUAGCCCUGAAUGAGGAGAGCAGGCAAGCUAUGGAUUCAAAUGUUGGCCAGAGAAGACAAACACAGAAUGGAUACUGCUAUGUUCACCCAUGCUUCUAUACUUGUGCAAAGUGUCUGGAAUGCUCACAGAAGUAUGCAAAAAGGACAGAAUUCCUCCUUUUUUUUUGUUUGUUUUUGUUCGUUUUUUUGUUUUAAGGUCUCUAGAAGCUUUGUUGGAA